UACGUAGGGGGCUAGCGUUGUCCGGAUUUAUUGGGCGUAAAGAGCUUGUAGGCGGUUUGUCGCGUCUGCUGUGAAAUCUCAAGGCUCAACCUUGAGCUUGCAGUGGGUACGGGGCAGACUAGAGUGUGGUAGGGGGAGACUGGAAUUCCUGGUGUAGCGGUGAAAUGCGCAGAUAUCAGGAGGAACACCGAUGGCGAAGGCAGG
rnacentral:rRNA from 1 species